rnacentral:rRNA from 1 species
CGGACGGGUGAGUAACACGUGGGUAACCUACCUAUAAGACUGGGAUAACUCCGGGAAACCGGGGCUAAUACCGGAUAAUAUUUUGAACCGCAUGGUUCAAAAGUGAAAGAUGGUCUUGCUGUCACUUAUAGAUGGAUCCGCGCUGCAUUAGCUAGUUGGUAAGGUAACGGCUUACCAAGGCAACGAUGCAUAGCCGACCUGAGAGGGUGAUCGGCCACACUGGAACUGAGACACGGUCCAG